UAUGGGUAUAAAUGUCCCUCUGAUCUGAGACCACCACGGUGACUUGUAAGCAACUCACUGCACUUAGGCACUGGACUACCUGAAUUUCUAAUUCAGUGACGAAAGGCUGCUGGGUGUAGUCAAGUACUUGACUUGUCGGUGCGUGUGUCAAGAUGGGAUUGACCACUCCAGUUUAGGAGCUGUGUACAAUCAUGUUUCAAUUUAGCAAAAUCUUGGCCAGGGUAGUCCUUGUGAGGAGUCACAGGACUGUUUGAGUUGAGCACGAUUCGGAUGAUCUGAUCAGGGUUGACAGUUUAACCCUGAGUCAUCCUAAACACAGAGGUCAAAAGGGAUGAAUUAUAUAGUAACCAUAUUCAUGUAGGUUCUGAG
rnacentral:lncRNA from 1 species